rnacentral:rRNA from 1 species
GAUGAACGCUGGCGGCGUGCCUAAUACAUGCAAGUCGAGCGAACGGACGCGAAGCUUGCGGCUCUGACGUUAGCGGCGGACGGGUGAGUAACACGUGGAUACCCUACCUAUAAUACUGGGAUAACUUCGGGAAACCGUAUCUAAUCCCGGAUAAUAUUUUGAACCGCAUUGUUCAAUAGUGAAAGACGGUCUUUCGGUCACUUAUAGAUGGAUCCGCGCUGCAUUAGCUAGUUGGUAAGUUAACGGGUUACCAGGGCAACGAGGCAUAGCCGAAGUGAGAGGCGGAUCGGCGACACGAGAACUGAGACGCGGUCCAGACGACUAAGGGAGGGACCAGUAGGGUAUGGGACGCAACGGGGGAGAACAUGACGGAGUAGGGCCGAGUGAGAGAUGAAGGUCUUGGGAUCGUGAAACCCUGUUAUGAGGGAAGAACAUAUGUGGAAGUAAACGAGCAGAUAGUGACGGUAAUUAGUCAGAAAGCCACGGCUAACUACGUG